UACGUAGGGGGCAAGCGUUAUCCGGAAUUACUGGGUGUAAAGGGAGCGUAGACGGUAAUGUAAGUCUGGAGUGAAAGGCGGGGGCCCAACCCCCGGACUGCUCUGGAAACUAUGUUACUGGAGUGCAGGAGAGGUAAGCGGAAUUCCUAGUGUAGCGGUGAAAUGCGUAGAUAUCGCGCAGAACUCCGAUUGCGAAGGCAGCAUGCCGGCUCCACACUGACGCUGAGGCACGAAAGCGUGGGUAUCGAACAGG
rnacentral:rRNA from 1 species